rnacentral:rRNA from 1 species
AUUGAACGCUGGCGGCAUGCCUCACACAUGCAAGUCGAACGGCAGCACGGGAGCAAUCCUGGUGGCGAGUGGCGAACGGGUGAGUAAAGUAUCGGAACGUGCCCAGUCGUGGGGGAUAACGUAGCGAAAGUUACGCUAAUACCGCAUACGAUCUAUGGAUGAAAGCGGGGGAUCGCAAGACCUCGCGCGAUUGGAGCGGCCGAUAUCAGAUUAGGUAGUUGGUGGGGUAAAGGCUCACCAAGCCGACGAUCUGUAGCUGGUCUGAGAGGACGACCAGCCACACUGGGACUGAGACACGGCCCAGACUCCUACGGGAGGCAGCAGUGGGGAAUUUUGGACAAUGGGCGAAAGCCUGUUCCAGCCAUGCCGCGUGCAGGAUGAAGGCCUUCGGGUUGUAAACUGCUUUUGUACGGAACGAGAAGGUUUGGCCUAAUAAGCUGAGCUCAUGACGGUACCGUAAGAAUAAGCACCGGCUAACUACGUGCCAGCCGCCGCCGUAA